GACGAACGCUGGCGGCGUGCCUAAUACAUGCAAGUCGAACGAAGCUGUUUUAACUGGUGCUUGCACCGACUUAAACAACUGAGUGGCGAACGGGUGAGUAACACGUGGGUAACCUGCCCCAAAGCGGGGGAUAACAUUUGGAAACAGAUGCUAAUACCGCAUAACCACAGAAACCACAUGGUUUCUGUGUCAAAGAUGGUUUCGGCUAUCACUUUGGGAUGGACCCGCGGCGUAUUAGCUAGUUGGUAAGGUAACGGCUUACCAAGGCAAUGAUACGUAGCCGAACUGAGAGGUUGAUCGGGCAAAUUGGGACUGAGACACGGCCCAAACUCCUACGGGAGGCAGCAGUAGGGAAUCUUCCACAAUGGGCGCAAGCCUGACGGAGCAACACCGCGUGAGUGAAGAAGGGUUUCGGCUCGUAAAACUCUGUUGUUAAAGAAGAACGUAUCUAAGAGUAACUGCUUAGGUAGUGACGGUAUUUAACCAGAAAGCCACGGCUAACUACGUGCCAGCCGCCGCAGUAA
rnacentral:rRNA from 1 species